UACGUAGGCAGCAAGCGUUGUUCGGAAUUACUGGGCGUAAAGAGUGUGUAGGCGGUGCUCUAAGUUCGGUGUGAAAUCUCCCGGCUCAACUGGGAGGGUGCGCCGGAAACUGGGGUGCUGGAGCGCGGGAGAGGAAAGCGGAAUUCCUGGUGUAGCGGUGAAAUGCGCGGAUAUCAGGAGGAACACCGGUGGCGAAGGCGGAUCUCUGGGCCUUACCUGACGCUGAGGCGCGAAAGCUAGGGGAGCAAACAGG
rnacentral:rRNA from 1 species